CGACUGGCCAAUGGAAGAUUCGUCUUCAGCUGACCAAGCCUGUUACAUAGCCUCCAUUGGUAUGGGGAGUUUGCGGAGCUGCUGCCUCUGAUUUACAGGUGGGGAGUAACAUCCUUCCAAUUCUGAACGUCCUCCAUGUACAUACUGAAACGAAAAGAUUAUGCCUUUUUUCCCUUUGGAGAAGAGCAUGACAGGGGAGAGCUUGGAGAUGUAUAAUGGUGCUCAUUGCUCCUUCCGAACACAGAACAUGGGGUUGAAGGCCAGUUACUGUUUUAAUAGUUUAGUUAGCAGCAAAUCUAUAAUUUAGAGUUGUGAUUUGUUGGAAGGGUGGAGUAGCAUAGAGUCAUAGAGUGUUGAAGUUACAAAGGAACUUUAAUCACUUUUGGUGUAAUUACACAGCUUGCAGAGAAAUUGAAAUGCAUACGAAGCAUAGAACUAUCAUUUUAGGGGUCUUGAUAUUUUUCUUCUUCCUGCAAGCAAGAAAAAGCAACGAAGAUAUACAAAGAAUAAAGCAUAUGAAGUUGUCGGAUACUCAAAGUGGGGAGACCUAUAUGGCAAUCUUUUGUACUGAAAUCACAUCUGCCAUUUUGUGAUGAGAUAAUGGUUACACAUAUUUAUUGCAUAUAGAAUGCAGUUCCUAGAACUGAGUAGACACAAUAUAACUAAACUCAUAAAUAAUUUUGCUUUAUUUUAUUACAUCUAUCUUUCAUUUUGUUUUAUCAUAGCUAAU